rnacentral:lncRNA from 1 species
UAAUUUUAUUUUAUUUUUAGCAUUGGCAUUUUGAAAACAAGGUAAUUGUUCUGAGCACACAUACUUGCUUUAACAGAUGAAAAUGUUGAUUAAGUCAACAAAGAAGGACCUUAACUUUGAGUGGACUAAUGUGCACUUUUGUAUUAAGUGGCACAGGAGAAAGAGAAGAGCAGAAGAGAAAAUCUUUCCUUCACCCCUGGGGAAAAGGCUGGUAUGCAUCUGGAUCUCUUCCUGCUGUGGGCAGCUGGGCUGUGCACAGGACCAUGGAGGAUACAGCAGUGCAGGCUUAUGAAAUAAGAGCAGACAUUUCUUUUCCCCAGCUCAUGGAUCCUUCCUCCUCAAACUAAACAUCUGUAGUGUCUGGGAAAGAAGGAAUUUGUCCUGAACAACAACAACUAAAUGUUUUCUUCCCACUGGUGUGAGUAAGUGGCUAUAAACUGAAGAUUUUGUUGGAUUAUUUCAAUGCAGAUAAUGCAGACUUUGGUUAUUUGUGUAUUUUUAUCCAGCAACUAAGACUCCACUGUAGAUCAUGUAAGUAAGUUGUAUUAAGGGUAUUGCUGAAAAAGCAAUACU